rnacentral:rRNA from 1 species
GCUGUUAAGGGUUCGUAGUUGAAUUGUGGUUGGCGAAGCCGGGGUCACGUCCUGUUCCCCGGUACAGGAAAGCCUCGAUUGCCAUCCGAGAACGUCAGAAACUAAGAUCACGGGAGCGUUUUCCCGCCAUCCUCGCGAGCAAUGCACGCAGGCGGGCGUCCGUGUUCAUUACUGUGACUAAGAAGUGCGACCAAAGCAGUCCAUCGACAUGAAUUAGAAAGCAUGGGAUAACAAAGGGCAGCCUACGGAUUACCGUUUUGGCUUUUGUUGGUUUUAAAGGUCUGUGGGAGAUUACGGGUGGUAGGACCGGCGUUUUGGAGUUCAAUGCUCCUGCGCUUCCCCUCAUGGUUCGCUCCGGCGGCUGUGUUGGGGCCUUUUUCUACUCAGGAAUGAAGGAGGGUUGCUCGGGGGAGACGUACUUGAGCGUGAGAGGUGAAAUUCUUAGACCGCUCAAAGACGAACUACAGCGAAGGCUUCUCCAAGGAUACCUUCCUCAAUCAAGAACCAAAGUGUGGAGAUCGAAGAUGAUUAGUACCAUUGUAGUCC